AGUUGAUGUGAGGAUAAAUCUUCACAGAAACUCUUUUGAUGUGUUGACCCUAAAAUUCAGACUACAAUUAUCUGAUCAGCU
rfam:Oryza meridionalis cultivar OR44 (W2112) chromosome 5, whole genome shotgun sequence.